rnacentral:rRNA from 1 species
GAGUUUGAUCAUGGCUCAGAACGUACGCUGGCGGCACGCCUAACACAUGCAAGUCGAACGAAGUAGCAAUACUUAGUGGCAGACGGGUGAGUAACAUGUAGGUAUCUGCCCUUUGGCCUGGAAUAACACGAGGAAACUUGUGCUAAUACCGGAUAAGUCUUUACGGAGAAAGCUUUAUGCACCAUUGGAUGAGCCUGCACUUGAUUAGUUUGUUGGUGGGGUAAUGGCCUACCAAGACUGUGAUCAAUAGCUGAUUUGAGAGGAUGAUCAGCCACAUUGGGACUGAGACACGGCCCAAACUCCUACGGGAGGCAGCAGUGGGGAAUCUUGCACAAUGGAGGAAACUCUGAUGCAGCGAUGCCGCGUGAGUGAAGAAGGCCCUUGGGUUGUAAAGCUCUUUCGUCGGGGAAGAAAAUGACUGUACCCGAAUAAGAAGGUCCGGCUAACUUCGUGCCAGCAGCCGCGGUAAUACGAAGGGACCUAGCGUAGUUCGGAAUUACUGGGCUUAGAGAGUUCGUAGGUGGUUGAAAAAGUUGGUGGUGAAAUCCCAGAGCUUAACUCUGGAACUGCCAUCAAAACUUUUCAGCUAGAGUAUGAUAGAGGAAAGCAGAAUUUCUAGUGUAGAGGUGAAAUUCGUAGAUAUUAGAAAGAAUACCAAUUGCGAAGGCAGCUUUCUGGAUCAUUACUGACACUGAGGAACGAAAGCAUGGGUAGCGAAGAGGAUUAGAUACCCUCGUAGUCCAUGCCGUAAACGAUGUGUGUUAGACGUUGGAAAUUUAUUUUCAGUGUCGCAGCGAAAGCGAUAAACACACCGCCUGGGGAGUACGACCGCAAGGUUAAAACUCAAAUGAAUUGACGGGGACCCGCACAAGUAGUGGAGCAUGUGGUUUAAUUCGAAGAUACGCGCAGAACCUUACCAACACUUGACAUGUUCGUCGCGACUUUAAGAGAUUAAAGUUUUCGGUUCGGCCGGACGAAACACAGGUGCUGCAUGGCUGUCGUCAGCUCGUGUCGUGAGAUGUUGGGUUAAGUCCCGCAACGAGCGCAACCCUCACUUUUAGUUGCCAUCAUUAAGUUGGGCACUCUGAAAGAACUGCCAGUGAUAAGCUGGAGGAAGGUGGGGAUGACGUCAAGUCCUCAUGGCCCUUACGUGUUGGGCUACACACGUGCUACAAUGGUAUCUACAACAGGAAGCAAGACUGCGAAGUUAAGCAAAUCCUUAAAAGAUACCUCAGUUCGGAUUGCACUCUGCAACUCGAGUGCAUGAAGCUGGAAUUACUAGUAAUCGUGGAUCAGCGUGCCACGGUGAAUGCGU